rnacentral:rRNA from 1 species
UACGUAGGGCGCAAGCGUUGUCCGGAAUCAUUGGGCGUAAAGAGCUCGUAGGCGGCCUGUUGCGUCCGCUGUGAAAUCCCGGGGCUUAACCCCGGGCGUGCAGUGGAUACGGGCUGGCUGGAGGCAGGCAGGGGAGAACGGAAUUCCCGGUGUAGCGGUGAAAUGCGCAGAUAUCGGGAGGAACACCAGUGGCGAAGGCGAUCACCUGGGGUUGUUCUGACGCUGAGGAGCGAAAGCUAGGGGAGCAAACGGG